AACCAGACUCCUACGGGAGGCAGCAGUGGGGAAUAUUGGGCAAUGGGCGCAAGCCUUACCCAGCAAUACCGCGUGAGUGAAGAAGGUCUUCGGAUUGUAAAGCUCUUUGAUCAGGGACGAACAGAUGACGGUACCUGAAGAACAAGCCCCGGCUAACUACGUGCCAGCAGCCGCGGUAAUACGUAGGUGGCAAGCGUUGUCCGGAAUUACUGGGUGUAAAGGGAGCGCAGGCGGGAAGCCAAGUCAGCUGUGAAAACUACGGGCUUAACUUGUAGACUGCAGUUGAAACUGGUUUUCUUGAGUGAAGUAGAGGUUGGCGGAAUUCCGAGUGUAGCGGUGAAAUGCGUAGAUAUUCGGAGGAACACCGGUGGCGAAGGCGGCCAACUGGGCUUUAACUGACGCUGAGGCUCGAAAGUGUGGGGAGCAAACAGGAUUAGAUACCCUAGUA
rnacentral:rRNA from 1 species